rnacentral:rRNA from 1 species
UGAGGAACAUGACUUUCGGCGGGGGAUAGCCGGCCCAACGGCCGGGUAAUACCGCGUACGACCUUUUGGGGACAUCCCUGAUUGGUGAAAGCAGCAAUGCGCCGAAAGAGUGCCUCGCGGCCUAUCAGCUAGUUGGUGGGUAAUGGCUCACCAAGGCGACGACGGGUAGCUGGUCUGAGAGGAUGGCCAGCCACAGUUGGGACUGAGACACGGCCCAGACCUCCGUACGGGAGNAGCG